rnacentral:rRNA from 1 species
UCCAGACUCCUACGGGAGGCAGCAGUGAGGAAUAUUGGUCAAUGGGCGAGAGCCUGAACCAGCCAAGUCGCGUGAGGGAAGACGGUCCUAUGGAUUGUAAACUUCUUUUGUCAGGGAGCAAUUGAGUCCACGUGUGGGCUUAGCGAGAGUACCUGAAGAAAAAGCAUCGGCUAACUCCGUGCCAGCAGCCGCGGUAAUACGGAGGAUGCGAGCGUUAUCCGGAUUUAUUGGGUUUAAAGGGUGCGUAGGCGGAAGGUUAAGUCAGCGGUCAAAUGUCGGUGCUCAACACCGGCCUGCCGUUGAAACUGGUCUUCUUGAGUGAGCGAGAAGUAUGCGGAAUGCGUGGUGUAGCGGUGAAAUGCAUAGAUAUCACGCAGAACUCCGAUUGCGAAGGCAGCAUGCCGGCGCUCAACUGACGCUGAGGCACGAAAGCGUGGGGAUCGAACAGGAUUAGAUCCCCGUGUA